rnacentral:lncRNA from 1 species
AGGCACAAGAUCUGAUGUGCAACAGAACUUUCCUGUUGCUUGGGCAUGGCGCAUUAAGGUGCAAACGUUGCAACAAACAGCUAGGAGCUCAUUUUAAAUGGCAAUACAAAAGAAAUGCAUUACUCACACGGAUCUGGUAAAUAGUCAUCUUGUGGCACCUCGGAUAUUACUAUACAAGGUCACCAGGCAUGCAUACAAAAAUGGGUGACUAGACAAUUAGCCUCAGUAACUUGUGAACUAGCCUUACCUUGAAUAAACAAAAGUGUAAGCUAAAGAAAGAAAAUCUCUGUGUAGGCCAGUUCCUUUUGCAGGCAGGCAGAGAAACAAGAACAGA